UACGAAGGGGGCUAGCGUUGCUCGGAAUCACUGGGCGUAAAGGGUGCGUAGGCGGGUCUUUAAGUCAGGGGUGAAAUCCUGGAGCUCAACUCCAGAACUGCCUUUGGUACUGAGGAUCUUGAGUUCGGGAGAGGUGAGUGGAACUGCGAGUGUAGAGGUGAAAUUCGUAGAUAUUCGCAAGAACACCAGUGGCAAAGGCGGCUCACUGGCCCGAUACUGACGCUGAGGCACGAAAGCGUGGGGAGCAAACAGG
rnacentral:rRNA from 1 species